rnacentral:rRNA from 1 species
GACGAACGCUGGCGGCGUGCUUAACACAUGCAAGUCGAACGAAGUGGCGAACGGGUGAGUAACGCGUAAUCAACCUGCCCUUCAGAGGGGGACAACAGUUGGAAACGACUGCUAAUACCGCAUACUGAAGGGGGGGAUUGCGUCUGAUUAGCUAGUUGGAGAGGUAACGGCCCACCUAGGCGCCGAUCCCUAGUGGGUCUGGGAGGAUGAUCAGCCCCACUGGGACUGGGAAACGGCCCAGACUCCUACGGGAGGCAGCAGUGGGGAAUCUUCCGCAAUGGACGAAAGUCUGACGGAGCAACGCCGCGUGAGUGAUGACGGCCUUCGGGUUGUAAAGCUCUGUUAAUCGGGACGCGGUACCGGAAUAGAAAGCCACGGCUAACUACGUGCCAGCAGCCGCGGUAAUAC